CGCGUAGGCGGCUCACUAAGUCGGAUGUGAAAACUCUGGGCUCAACCCAGAGCCUGCAUCCGAAACUAUUGGGCUAGAGUUCUGGAGGGGAAAGCGGAAUUCCUGGUGUAGCGGUGAAAUGCGUAGAUAUCAGGAGGAACACCGGUGGCGAAGGCGGCUUUCUGGACAGAAACUGACGCUGAGGCGCGAAAGCUAGGGGAGCAAACA
rnacentral:rRNA from 1 species